rnacentral:misc_RNA from 1 species
UUUCCGUAGGUGAACCUGCGGAAGGAUCAUUAUUGAAGUUGACAAUGCCAGAAAGGCAUUGUCUCUCUCUACCCACACCUGUGAACUUACCCUGUUGCUUUGGUAGGUCUGUUCGAUAUCUCAUAUCGAACUUCAAUCGUUCGAUGCCUACCAAAGGUUUUUUCAACGCCUUUUAUCAUAUGUCAAAUCAGACUUUGUUUUAAAUACAAAAUGUAAUAAAACUUUCAACAAUGGAUCUCUUGGCUCUGGCAUCGAUGAAGAACGCAGC